GCCCGGGUAGCUCAAUCGGUAGAGCGUGUGGCUCUUAUGAAUUCUUCACUAGAACACCUCAAGGUCGUGGGUUCGAGCCCCACCUCGGGCU